CCUACGGGAGGCAGCAGUGGGGAAUAUUGGACAAUGGGGGCAACCCUGAUCCAGCCAUGCCGCGUGUGUGAAGAAGGCCCUCGGGUUGUAAAGCACUUUCAGUGAGGAAGAACGCCUGGUGGUUAAUACCCAUCAGGAAAGACAUCACUCACAGAAGAAGCACCGGCUAACUCCGUGCCAGCAGCCGCGGUAUUACGGAGGGUGCGAGCGUUAAUCGGAAUUACUGGGCGUAAAGCGCGCGUAGGUGGCUUGAUAAGCCGGUUGUGAAAGCCCCGGGCUCAACCUGGGAACGGCAUCCGGAACUGUCAAGCUAGAGUGCAGGAGAGGAAGGUAGAAUUCCCGGUGUAGCGGUGAAAUGCGUAGAGAUCGGGAGGAAUACCAGUGGCGAAGGCGGCCUUCUGGACUGACACUGACACUGAGGUGCGAAAGCGUGGGUAGCAAACAGGAUUAGAUACCCUGGUAGUC
rnacentral:rRNA from 1 species